UUCCAGGCUCACCAAAAACGCAGAGCUGGUAAGGUGUACUGCUCGGGUGGACGGUGGAAGCUGCGACCAAAAAUAUGUGCUUCAAGCAAUUGGAAGAAUAGAGUUGCCGUGAACGGAUUACCACCGAAGACUCAGCAGACCCAAUAGAUUUGCUGAAGAAAGAGGAAGAAGAGGAGAUGAAAACAGGCUCAUAAGGG
rnacentral:lncRNA from 1 species